GCCCAGAUAGCUCAGUUGGUAGAGCAAAGGACUGAAAAUCCUUGUGUCGCUGGUUCGAUUCCUGCUCUGGGCACCA
rnacentral:tRNA from 1 species